rnacentral:rRNA from 1 species
GACAGAGGGUGCAAACGUUGUUCGGAAUUACUGGGCGUAAAGCGCGUGUAGGCGGCCCUGUAAGUCGGAUGUGAAAUCCCACGGCUCAACCGUGGAAGUGCAUUCGAAACUACAGGGCUAGAGUCCUGGAGAGGAAGGUGGAAUGCUUGGUGUAGAGGUGAAAUUCGUAGAUAUCAAGCGGAACACCGGUGGCGAAGGCGGCCUUCUGGACAGUGACUGACGCUGAGACGCGAAAGCGUGGGGAGCAAACAGG